rnacentral:tRNA from 1 species
UUCAAAAUGGCAGAUAAUAUGCAUUAGAUUUAGGUUCUAGAGAUGGGGAGUUUCCCCUUUUGAAA